CCAAUACACCGCGCUCGCUGACCCCAGGGGACUGGGAACGGCUCGCGUCGCCCGAAGCAAGCGUAUGACAAUCACAACAAAGCAAAGCUACGAGGUCCUGCCCUCCCCCCCUUCGGACUACGUUUCCCGUGAGACUCAGCAAGCGAGAACGGGCGCGGCCUCCGCCAGCGGAUGCUCAUUGCCAAAGGCCUCUCACAACUGAGAAGAGCUCUGUUCCUCUCAGAGAAAUGCGAAGAGUCGCAGACUGUGGGGGCCCCCUUCCCGCUCUGGCGGCCGCUCUUCCUUUGCGUCCGCGCCCUGGACUCACCAACUGCCGCGACGGACGGUACGAUAGACUUCUGCGCGUGCGCACAGUAGCUCCGGCGCCUAUUGGCAAGCGAGGGGGGGGUGGGAGGAGCGUGGCCUCAAGGCCGUCCUGAACUAGCGCCCCGCCUAGGCCGCGUUCUAGUCGCGAAGCAGUCCUCUUGGUGACCGCUAGAGGACACCCCCCCUCCCUGUUUCCAAGGCAACGGCCAGAGCGUCGCUGGGUCCUCCCCGGAGGCCGGAAGUGACUGCGGGAACAGUGCAGUUCGGCCGAGACUCGCCUCCAGGUGGUCCCCGGAGGAAGCAGAGGCCGGCCCUAUCUGUGGACUUUCUCCGCCAACCCCGGGAAGGACUCCAGCGGGGAUGGUGCUGGGGUCCUUAUUCGACCUCUGCUGGGUGCCCUGCGGACAUCGAGAACAAGAACCAGGGUGGACACAUAUUUACAGAAGAUAUUGUCCCAUGAUUUAUACUCUCAGGGUCUCAGACACGUCUUCAGAUGUCAGUACUGCAAAGUGAGGGACGAAGGUUUUUGUCCAGCUUAUGGGACGCCGCUAACCUUUUACAUGGGGUACCAGAACGAGUAAAAGUACCUUCAGUUAAUCUCAGUAGCCAAGAACCACACUGUGGAAAGGGGUGCUUUGCUUUCAGAAACCAAGUAUUCGUUCCUAAAUUGCA